AGUGGCGAACGGGUGAGUAACAUAUCGGAACGUACCGAGUAAUGGGGGAUAACUAAUCGAAAGAUUAGCUAAUACCGCAUAUUCUCUGAGGAGGAAAGCAGGGGACCUUCGGGCCUUGCGUUAUUCGAGCGGCCGAUAUCUGAUUAGCUAGUUGGUGGGGUAAAGGCCUACCAAGGCGACGAUCAGUAGCGGGUCUGAGAGGAUGAUCCGCCACACUGGGACUGAGACACGGCCCAGACUCCUACGGGAGGCAGCAGUGGGGAAUUUUGGACAAUGGGCGCAAGCCUGAUCCAGCCAUGCCGCGUGUCUGAAGAAGGCCUUCGGGUUGUAAAGGACUUUUGUCAGGGAAGAAAAGGCUGUUGCUAAUACCGACAGCUGAUGACGGUACC
rnacentral:rRNA from 1 species